rnacentral:rRNA from 1 species
UACGGAGGGUGCAAGCGUUAUCCGGAUUCACUGGGUUUAAAGGGUGCGUAGGUGGGUUGAUAAGUCAGUGGUGAAAUCCCCGAGCUUAACUUGGGAACUGCCAUUGAUACUAUUGAUCUUGAAUACCGUGGAGGUCAGCGGAAUAUGUCAUGUAGCGGUGAAAUGCCUAGAUAUGACAUAGAACACCAAUUGCGAAGGCAGCUGGCUACGCGAAUAUUGACACUGAUGCACGAAAGCGUGGGGAUCAAACAGG